GUAACACUAACUGGAGGACCGAACCGACUAAUGUUGAAAAAUUAGCGGAUGACUUGUGGCUGGGGGUGAAAGGCCAAUCAAACCGGGAGAUAGCUGGUUCUCCCCGAAAGCUAUUUAGGUAGCGCCUCGUGAACUCAUCUUCGGGGGUAGAGCACUGUUUCGGCUAGGGGGUCAUCCCGACUUACCAACCCGAUGCAAACUACGAAUACCGAAGAAUGUUAUCACGGGAGACACACGGCGGGGGCUAACGUCCGUCGUGAAGAGGGAAACAACCCAGACCGCCAGCUAAGGUCCCAAAGUCAUGGUUAAGUGGGAAACGAUGUGGGAAGGCACAGACAGCCAGGAUGUUGGCUUAGAAGCAGCCAUCAUUUAAAGAAAGCGUAAUAGCUCACUGGUCGAGUCGGCCUGCGCGGAAGAUGUAACGGGGCUAAACCAUGCACCGAAGCUGCGGCAGCGACACUAUGUGUUGUUGGGUAGGGGAGCGUUCUGUAAGCCUGCGAAGGUGACCUGUGAGGGUUGCUGGAGGUAUCAGAAGUGCGAAUGCUGACAUAAGUAACGAUAAAGCGGGUGAAAAGCCCGCUCGCCGGAAGACCAAGGGUUCCUGUCCAACGUUAAUCGGGGCAGGGUGAGUCGACCCCUAAGGCGAGGCCGAAAGGCGUAGUCGAUGGGAAACAGGUUAAUAUUCCUGUACUUGGUGUUACUGCGAAGGGGGGACGGAGAAGGCUAUGUUAGCCGGGCGACGGUUGUCCCGGUUUAAGCAUGUAGGCUGGUUAUCCAGGCAAAU
rnacentral:rRNA from 1 species